AGGGUUUGUUGUUGGGUUUUGUUC
rnacentral:siRNA from 1 species